rnacentral:rRNA from 1 species
UACGGGGGGGGUAAGCGUUGUUCGGAAUUACUGGGCGUAAAGGGCUCGUAGGCGGUUUGUCGCGUCGGGAGUGAAAUCAUCUGGCUUAACUGGGUGCUUGCUUUCGAUACGGGCAGACUAGAGGUAUGCAGGGGAGAACGGAAUUCCUGGUGUAGCGGUGAAAUGCGCAGAUAUCAGGAGGAACACCGGUGGCGAAGGCGGUUCUCUGGGCAUGAUCUGACGCUGAGGAGCGAAAGUGUGGGGAGCGAACAGG